rnacentral:rRNA from 1 species
UACGUAGGGUGCGAGCGUUGUCCGGAAUUAUUGGGCGUAAAGGGCUCGUAGGCGGUUUGUCGCGUCGGGAGUGAAAAUCCAGGGCUUAACUCUGGACUGGCUUCCGAUACGGGCAGACUAGAGGUAUGCAGGGGAGAACGGAAUUCCGGGUGUAGUGGUGAAAUGCGUAGAGAUCCGGAGGAACACCAGUGGCGAAGGCGACACGCUGGGCCGUACCUGACGCUAAAGCGCGACAGCAUGGGGAGCAAACGGG